rnacentral:rRNA from 1 species
UACGGAGGGUGCGAGCGUUGUCCGGAAUCACUGGGCGUAAAGCGCGCGUAGGCGGCUCGGUCAGUCGGGUGUGAAAGCCCUGGGCUCAACCCAGGAACUGCAUCCGAAACUGUCAGCCUGGAGUGGUGGAGAGGGAAGCAGAAUUCCUGGUGUAGAGGUGAAAUUCGUAGAUAUCAGGAGGAACACCGGUGGCGAAGGCGGCUUCCUGGACACUUACUGACGCUGAGACGCGAAAGCGUGGGGAGCAAACAGG